rnacentral:tRNA from 1 species
GGGGAUUUAGCUCAGUGGUAGAGCGCUUGCCUAGCAAGCAGAAAGCCCUGGGUUCGGUCCCCAGCUCUG